rnacentral:lncRNA from 1 species
UUAAUAAAAUUCUCUGGCUUCCAGAGUCUUCUCUCAGACGCUCCUCCUUCUCUCUAGAUUCUCUCUCUACAUUCUUCAUGAUUUUUCGGUUUAAUCUCAUUGUUUACAUGGUAUCAGAGCCUAGACGACGAUCCGACUAUGUUUCUCUGCAUCUCGUUGUCUUGGUUGAACUCUUCUUUGAGAUUUUUUGGGAUUUUUCUGAGACCUUGUGGUCGAUGAUGAUUCCGACCUAGAUCUGAUGCCUUUCCGAGUUUUUCAUCAUGAUAUUUGAGUGUAUUUUCUUCACUCGAACGUUCUGGGAGAUUUUCUGCUGAUUUUUGGGUGAUUUUUCGGUGACCUAUCGGCUUCUAGGGUUUCUGGUGGUUUAACCUAGAGUUUUAUGCUAUCCGGUGGAUCGAUCCUCACUCAGUGGAUGUUUAGAGUGACUUUCCGACAUCCCUCCCCAUAUUUCCAGUAAGGUUUUCAACGGUUGCACCUAGGGUUUUGUACCUAGGGUUUUCUCUGACUGAUUGAAGGCCGAUCUUCUCUGGUCGCGAAGAAGGAGGGUGAUGGUUACACCUAGGGUUUUGUACCUAGGGUUUUCUCUAUUGUUUGAAGGCCGAUCUUCUCCGGUCGCAAAGAAGGAGGGUAACUCUGUCCUUAUCUUUAGUAUUGUAUGCUUUGUGUGUGAUUAUCUGACUCUGUAUGUGAGUAUCUGGUGUUGUGUGUGAAUACCUGAUUUGGUUAUACUUUGUUUGUUGAAAAACUAUUUUUUUAGCCGGUUCAUUGAUUAUGGCUUCUAACACAAAUGCUGGUACUCCUCCUCUGUAGACUCUUUUAGCCCCCUUUUUGUAUAUUCUUCUGAUGUCCCUGGGGUUUCUCUUGUUCCCACUCCCUUCUCGGGUAGUGGUUAUGGGGGCUGGAGGCGUAGUAUAUUCUUCUGAUGUCCCUGGGGUUUCUCUUGUUCCGACUCCCUUAUCGGGUAGUGGUUAUGGGGGCUGGAGGCAUAAGAUGAUUGUUGCUUUAUCCGCUAAAAAUAAAAUCGGUUUUGUUGACGGUUCGUGUUCUUGUCCUGCCACUAAUGUGGCUCAACAGAGACUGUGGGACAGAUGUAAUAACAUGGUCAUUUCCUGGUUGACCUCCUCUCUGUCUCCUCAUUGCUGAUUGUGUGCAGUAUUCCGAUACUGCACAGAGUAUAUGGUCCCAAAUUGAGAAAAGAUAUGGUACCCCUAACAAGACCAAAAUUUUUGAAUUAAAAAGGGACCCUAUCUCCUCAGAUUGCUGAUAGUGUGCAGUAUUCCGAUACUGCACAGAGUAUAUGGUCCCGAAUUGAGAGAAGAUAUGGUACCCCUAACAAGACCCAAAAUUUUGAAUUAAAAAGGGAACUUUCCCACACAUCUCAAGGCUCCUUAGAUGUAGCCUCAUACUUCCAAAAUUUUUGAAUUAAAAAGGGAACUUUCCCACACAUCUCAAGGCUCCUUAGACGUAGCCUCAUACAUUAACAAGCUCAAAGGCUUGUGGGAUGAAUUGGGCACAAUGUGCACAAAUCAUGGGCAGAGAUGUGUGUGUGCUGCCAAAAAUGGAAUAAUUGAGGAAGAUGAUGAAAACAAGGUAUUCCAGUUUCUUAUGGGGUUAAAUGAAGCAUACCUGGGGGUUAGGAGUAAUUUGUUGAUGAUGCAGCUAUUUCCUUCCCUAGACAGUGUUUACAAUAUAGUGCUUAAUGAUGAGAAACAGAGACAAGUUCAAUCUAUCUCUCAAAUCUGUCCAGACCCUAUGUCUUUUAAUGCACAUGCAAACAAGCACCCAGUUGGGUUUAACCAGGCCACAGUGCCUAGACCCCCUAUUUUCAGACCCAGAGCAAAGCAGAGGGCCCUUAUUUUUCAGAUACUGCAAGAAAUCUGGGCACUUAAUUGAUAAGUGCUACAAGAUCCAUGGGUUUCCUCAN